UUCGCAAUGCCCGAAAGGGUGACGAAGCGACGCCGCGUGUGGGAAGAAGGCCUUCGGGUUGUAAACCACUGUCGGGAGUUAAGAAAUGCAAGGAUAUGAGUAGUGUCUUUGCUUGACUAAGGCUCCGGAGGAAGCCACGGCUAACUCUGUGCCAGCAGCCGCGGUAAUACAGAGGCGGCAAGCGUUGUUCGGAAUUAUUGGGCGUAAAGAGCACGUAGGCGGCUAUAUAAGUCGGUUGUGAAAGCCUUCCGCUCAACGGGAGAACAGCAUCCGAUACUGUAUGGCUUGAGUGUGGGAGGGGAGAGCGGAACUUCUGGUGGAGCGGUGAAAUGCGUAGAUAUCAGAAGGAACGCCGGCGGCGAAAGCGGCUCUCUGGCCCAUAACUGACGCUGAGUGUGCGAAAGCUAGGGGAGCAAACGGGAUUAGAUACCCCGGUAGUCCUAGCCGUAAACGAUGGGCACUAAGUAGAGGGGUUUU
rnacentral:rRNA from 1 species